rnacentral:lncRNA from 1 species
GGAGUUCCAACGCCUGUUCUCUGAUGAAAGACUAUAUUUAUUAAAAACAAUAGAAAUCAGUUUUGCUUCAAAUGAGAUAAAUGUGGUUCCUGAUUUGGUUUUCGUUGCUUUACAGAAUGUAUCUUAGAUAACUUUUACAAACAAUCCUAUUACAAAAAUUCCUGUGUCACUCAAAAGACUUCGACCAUGUAAUGUUUUAUUUGGAACAAUUAAAAUGAAAUGUGCGUGUAGUGAUAUUUGGCUACAAAAUUGGCUCCCUUCCAUAGAAGAUUGUUAUAACAAUACUCGUAUAAUGUGCCAGACUUCUUCUGGUUUGAGAUCUAUUCUUGAUAUUGACAUAGAUUUAUUAGGAUGUGACACUGGGGGUGUCGUCAUCCGAUGGAUCACCAUUAUCCUUGGUAUUUGUUUGUGUUGUAUAAUAAUUUCGACUUUUAUUAUCUACAAUUUUCGUAUAGACAUGUACAUUCUUUUAGGACACAUUUUAAACGAGUGAGACAAUCAUCGAUUUCACCGUCAUUUGAGUAUGGAAUAUAUAUAUAUCAUGCAACGAACAAGAUGAAAAUCUACGUAAGUGGAUUAAACAUACUAUGUUGCCAUAUCUUAAAGGAAAUUAAAGACUGUCCGUUUUUCUUCCGUAUCGUGACUGUCAACCCGGCACUCCACGGGAGGAUGAAAUAAGGGAGACAAUGGCAAAAAGUAGAAAUAUAUUGAUUAUUCUUAGUGAGGUCUAUGAUGAUAUAGCUAGACGAUGGUUAGAGUGCGAGCUAAAAUACGCAUGGCUGAACUAUCGUUAUGACUGGCGUAAGAACAUAGUAAUUAUCAAUUACGACUUGCUUGAAACGAAAAAUAUAUCUAAUGAAUUCAUCAAAUCAUUUUCCCGACUUGGCAAAUGUAUCGAUUUCUCGAACUUCCAAAAUGACAUCGAAGCUAAAAUGUCAUCUGUGAUAACUCAACAGGCAGCAGACAUAUUCCUCAAUUAUAAGCUUAAGAAUAGACGUGGGCGAUUUCGUUUUAAAUAAUUUGUGCAGAAAACAUAUUCUUUUACAUUGCAUGAUUCUUUUCAUUAAAAUUAAAACAAAAUGCUUUAGGAAAUAUCUUCAGCAC